UUUUUUAAGAUUUUCCUUGUUUUUCAUCAUGAAUUUUUGUUGCGAGUAGUUAACACCUCCGUAUUUAACAUAGAUGACUUCUAAUCGUUGACUCUAUUAUAAUAUAUUAUAUAAAUAUCAUGUUACAACACUAUACUUUGCCACUUUUGAAAUUUUUACACCAAAUUUUCGACAGUAUACUCUACCUCUUUUGAAAUUGUGCCACCAAUUAUUUGUCAAUUUUUGCCGUUUCGUCCCUCGCCGCCCUUGUCAUCCAAUCACCGGCUCCUUCAUCCAAUCACCGACUCCUUCCACCGCCCUCUAUUGCUUUCAUCUACCUUUGCUUCACCGAAAAGUCUCUGCUCUCGAUUUCUAUCUCACUCUCUUACUUCUCUGUAAAUCGAUUUGAAACAACGCGGUUCCAAAUCUUUGAGGCAAGGUCAGAACAGCUUACCAUCAACAUUGAUUUUCUGUAUGUUCUCUUUCUUCUAUCCUCUUUGUCUUCCUUUUUUUUUUUUCUUCUGUACGGAAAGCAGAAAAAGAAGGUCAUCAACGUGCUUGACCGGACCUGAAGUCACUUCGAUUUCUUGGAUUAACAUACCAUAAAACUUGUGAAAUUACUUUGUUACUCAUAAAGAAGUGGAGUUUGUUUCUCAUUCAUCGAACACUUGACUGUUCUUUAAUCAGAUUUACUUUGAACUUUUAUGUGUCAACUAACAAGUUACAAAAUUACUUAUAUACCAUUACUGUUGUAUGGAAUUCAUUGUCAAAUGACUUUUGUUUGACUUGAGUAGACCAACAUCUGUUUCUCAAGGCCAUGGCAGAAACUGGUCAAAUCAAGCUUUUUGGUGAAGAGCCACCUUUGACUGAAACUGCUCUUUAUAGAGCUAGGAAGCGUUUAUAUAAAGAAGGAAGGCUGUAGGCUGAACGUGGCAGACUACAAAAAGAAGGUCCAUUAGUAUACAAUUGAGAAUGGGUUAAUUAAAGCAUGUAAAAAAGACACGUCACGUGAAGCUGUUGAAAAAACAUGGUUUUCCUUUUUUUAAGGAAAAGAAAAAAAGCGAAUAAGACGCGUGGUGGGGAUAUAGGUACAUCCUUCUAUUGCACCGCCAUUUCCUCUUCCAGAUUCAAUUGCAUGUAAGCAUCUGAAAAUGGCGUUAGGGAUUCGGAAGAAGUUGAAUUAGGGUUUUCAGUUUCUUUCACGCGUUAGCAUAUGCUUAUCAAAGUAUCAACGCGCGGCGCAUCAGGUUUUCCGCUCAUCCCCACUCAGUUAUCGGAUAUCAGUAAGUAAUUCAUACGUUCGGUUUUAUCUGUCUUGUCUUCGUAUCUGGUUAUGUCCAAAACAUUGAAGGAGAUGCUCGUUGGUAUCGCCGUCGUAUAUGGAAACCUUGAUUGCUUAGCUUGAGAUCAGUACUCACUCACCUAAUAUGAGUUUUGGUGAAUCAUAAUAUCAAAUUUGUUUCUAUUGCAUGUUCUGAUGUGGUUACACUUUCUGACUUCUCUUAAUUUGAAGUUUGAGAGAACCAUGAUUGUUGUUUCUAGAUGUCCUGAAUUGUGGCUUGCUUCAGGAUCAGGUAAUUCUUAUUUUGAGUUAUACUAGAUGUUACUAUGACAUUCCAAGUAUAGAAUACACUUUAUUUUGACAUUUAGAGACACGCAACUAUCAUAUCUUAUAUGUAGUGUCCUAAUAUUUGGAAAAUAGCAAUUACAAUAGCCUCAGUUAUAUAUAUGCCAAGAGCAUAAGUAAGAAGUCCCAAAAUGAUUAAUAAUCUACCUAGUCAACUAAAAUACAACUAGAAAUAUCAAAAGGGUACUAUUAAAUUCUCAACACACAAAAGAUAUGUCUCUACUUGCCUGAUAAAAUACAUGCCCAAAAGAAACAAGUGUUAAACUUAAAGCCUAGAAAGAAGAAGAUAUCAUUAUACUUACCUAAGCAAUGUAAAUCAUAUCUAAUAUAAUUAAGUAAACCACAAUGUAAAUAUACCUCUCUAAAGUGAUGGAUUGAAAUCAAAUGUAAGAUUUAGGCUUUGGGGUCUAAACCAAAGUUGUAGAUUUUAAUUUCCAUCAUGUAGAUUCUAGAUAGAGUUGGGUAAAGAGUCAUUGCUAAUGUUUUUAUGAUGUAAAAGGAAGGAGGGUUUGUCACGGGUGGCGUACUUUUUGAGCUUCCAUCACGUGCUUUAAUUUCUGUACUUCACUAGUUGAUGUCGGUGGUUUCCUUCACUUGUUUACAACGAAGCCCUUGAGGUUGAAAUAUGUAAGGGUUAAGCUCUCAUAGAUUUUGAGAACACGUUUUGUACAAAUGGAAUUAUUUUUGUAGUGUGUGUUCUAUGAAAUGCUCAUGAAACUGUUCCAAUAUCUAUAUUAUGUAAAUUGAUUAACGCAUUAGGUGUUUAGCUUACGGUUUCCCGGGAUUUGAAAGAAGGAUGUUCUAGUAUGAAGGGCAAGUGUUUAACCUAGGUCAAGGUGUUGAUCAAAGGCAGACCGGAGAUAACAAUGAAUAUUAGAAUACGAUGAACAAUGUUAGUGAUCAAUGGCGGAUCCAGAACCAAGAAUUAAAGAAGUCCACUUUGUAUAAAAUUUUAAUUAAUUAAUAAAUUUUAAUUUUCAAGGGUUUUUUAUUUUUAAGUUAAGUGGGUGCCAAAAAUCUUUAGUGGUGUCCAAACAUACAUCUUUUCAAAAAGAAAAAAAGAAAAACUUGUUUGCCUAUAAUAGAAGGUGGCACAUACUUUUAAGUGGGUUCCAUGCACCCCGCUAAAAUGGACUGCAUCCGCCACUGAUAGUGAUUAAAACUUGAUAUGAUCAGAAUAGAUGUAAUUCUAGUUUGUAAUAAAUCUAAUUAAUGAUUUGGAAUUAUUGUAAUUAAUAGUGGUAUGGUAUAUUGAUGAAUGUAAUAUUGGUAAUUGAGGUAUUUAACUAGCUAUCUAUGUCAAAUUCAGGGUGUUACACUUGCACAAAGGCAAUCCCCUUCAAUCUAGUAAAUUGAAUACUAGAGUUUAUGUUAACAAAAUAUAUGUCAAGCUUGUUCUCAAGAACAAGUCAAAAUUUUAAUGUUAGACAUCAGUGAUUUGUAUAUAACAUAAAGCAAUUUAAAAAAAAAAAAAAUAGAAGUCAAUUCGUUAUAAAAAUCGAACAAACAUCAAACAAAAUGAGGCCGUCUAUGUUUUCUUCGUUUCGAUAUACAAUUUGGAAUUGUGUUUGUGUCUUCUUUGAUUCGAUUUCUAUCUAUGUGAUUUGUCUAAGAUUUUCACUUUGGUCUUCUUUUUUAUUUUUCAUUCUUUACAGGAGCAAAAUGACUGAAAACUCUUUGUAUUUUUCAUGUAGUUACAAAAUUAACACUAUGCAAAAAAUAAAAAUAAAAAUAAAUCCAGUAACAUGAAGCAUGGGCUUGUCCCUUAUCUAGUUCAUGUGGUACUUUUUCUCAAGGAGACAAGACAAUGACUAGGUUGUUACUUGGUACUUGGUAGAUUCUACUAGGAUUGUCCUAGGAAUGGAGAUUUAGCCGCCUUUGGCCCAUAUUUGACCCACUAGCCCAUUAUGCUUUAUGUCUCGUUUUCUUCAUCUUCAAGGCAAGGCUUUAAGGACAAUAUUUGUAUGGGAGGAUAUUUGAGGCAUAAUUUAUUGGUAUGCACGUGCAUUACUCAAAACAAUAUUUGUAGUCUUGUUUAAUUAAAAAAAAUCUUGUUUCUAGUCCUUUUUUCCCUAAGAAGAGUGGAUAUAUUGUUUUUUUUUAAUUUUUUUAAUUUUUUUAAUUUUUUUUUAAAACACUGAAUCUGCCAUUCUUUUCAAGUGCCAGUUUUAUAAGUGAAUUUCCAUAUAUUUUUUGUAGUGUGAAAUUAUUUGAGAUGAGAUAUUUCUUUGCAUAUAGAUAUUUUUUGUUUUACUUCCUAAACAUUGCAUAUUGUUUUGGGAGGUCUACAUAAGGAUGGGCCCAUUGGGUCCAAAACUAGGUGAUUCUAAUGUUCCUUGACCAAACCUUAGGUUUUGUGUUUUUAUUCUUAAUAUAUUACUCAACUUUAUGAUCAAUUUGAAGCUUUUACUCUUGUGGUCUAAUAAACUGUGUUGGCAGGUAAAACUUUCCCAUGGUUGCAUUAGUAAUUGAUUUAUAUCUGUUAUGAUAGUUUUGUUUGUUUUGGAAGCAACAAUUCAUCACCAAAUGGGUUAUAGCUUAUCAAUUAUUCUGCAGAUGUAUUCCUAUUGCUUAUGUUUUCCAAUUGGCUCCACAGCAAGGCAUGUAUGUUGUAACAAUCUCCUCUUUUGUUUAACAAUCCAGCUAACUUGGCACCGGAUCAAUUUGGGUAUAACAAGUAAAUGCAAGAAAUAGCAACAUACUUCCAUUUAUUGUACAUUAUAGCAUCCUACUUCUAUUUCUCCCGAUUAACAGCAUUGCACUUCCAAAAAAAAUAUAUCAAGGCAUUGUACUUUCAAAUUUUUAUAGCAUAUUGUAUUUUCAAUUUUUUCUUAUUAGGACGUUAUACUUUGAAAUUCCUAACCAAAAUUUAACAGUAAAAAGUGACAUGAAUGUAUGUUGCUACUUCUUUUGCAUUUGGUAGUAAAUCAAUCUAGGUUAUAACAAAAUACUAAACCCAGAAAAGGAAAAAAGGGUAGAAUGCAUGAAAUAUCAAACCUAUGUCUGUUUAUUUGUGUAUUGCAUUAUCCUACAUUCCUUUCUACCAACUACAUCAUUGUACUUCCACUUUUUGUUCUUAUCAAGGCAUUGUACUUUAAAAAUCAUGCUCAAUUUUAGAAUAGGAGUUUAGUUUAAAACAUCUACCCAGUGAAAAGUGUAGAAUGCUGUAUUAGGAUGAAAUGAAAGUAGGUUGCUAUUUCUUGCAUUUAAGUUUAACCCACAGAAUAGAACCGCAAUAUGAAUUGAUCCCAGACAUGUGUUGGGAUUCAUCCUCCCUUUGUUCAUGUCCAGCUUCUUGUCGUUUAAAAACUAUCCAGAAAUUCUCUGCUGCUGCUGCUGCUGCUUAAUUCAUGUAAGGAGACUGUUAUAUUUUGUACAUCUAGUUGCAGUAAAUUCUACAAGAAGAGAGCAGUUUAAUCCUAGACACAAAUAUCCUAGUAUUCAUCAGAUUUUAUCUAUCUACUGUACAAAAUAAUCAACAUGUCACUGUAUUUAUAAUAGGGAAAAAGUCAGAAAAACCCCCAACAAACUAUACCUAUUGUCCCAGAUUAAUCAGGAAACCUUUUUUUUUGUCCCAGUUAGGUCUAUGGCUGUUUCAGAGUCAAUUUUUUGUGUUCCAUUUUGGCAAAAAACUUUUGCACAGCUAAAAUCCCUGAUCAAAGAAAAAAUUAAAUCCUAGCUUCCUUUUAUCCAUAUUUACAUCUUUUUUCUUUAGGUGUACAAAAAAAAUCACAUAAGGACCUAAUUGGAACAAAAAAAGUUGUGACUAAUCUGAAACAGUGGGCAUAGUUUGUUGGAGUUUUUCAACUUUUACCCUUUAUAAUAAUAUAUGUCAUGAGGUAAUAUGAGACAGGUUUUAGCAACAGGUGAUGGAUGGAAGAUGGUAUGUUAUAUGGUUCAUACAAACAAGCACAUACUCGCAUACACUGGAAACUCAUUACACAGUAUAGAGGGGUAAAAUUUACAAGGCUGUUUGCUGUUUAACUUCAGUUUUAAGGUAGUUGUGUGGGUAGGGGACAAAAACAGAAAUACAACCAGGAAUAAAGAGUUCACUGCAUUAUUAGCCACAGCAAAGAUAGAAGGUGACAACCAUCACUGCUUGAAAAACAAAUCAACUUUCUCCUUCAUAGUAUAUAUAUAUUAUAUAUAUAUAACACAUCGCAAAAUGAUGGGAGAGAUAUUU